AGRAGGGUGCGAGCGKUKKUUCGGAAAUACUGGGCGUAAAGCGCGCGCCRGGCGGCUCUUUAAGUCCGUAGGURAARRACCGGGGCUCAACCCCCGUGUCAGCCAKGGAUACUGGAGGGGCUGGAGACAGGUAGAGGCAAGCGGAAUUCCGGGUGUAGCGGUGGAAUGCGUAGAGAUCCGGAAGAACACCGGAGGCGAAGGCGGCUUGCUGGACCUGGUCUGACGCUGAGGCGCGAAAGCGUGGGGAGCGAACAGGAUUAGAUACCCUGGUAGUCCACGCCGUAAACGAUGGGCACUAGACGCUGGUGGGAUCGACCCCUUCAGUGUCGAAGCUAACGCGAUAAGUGCCCCGCCUGGGGAGUACGGCCGCAAGGCUG
rnacentral:rRNA from 1 species